GACGAACGCUGGCGGCGUGCUUAACACAUGCAAGUCGAACGGAAAGGCCCUGCUUUUGUGGGGUGCUCGAGUGGCGAACGGGUGAGUAACACGUGAGUAACCUGCCCUUGACUUUGGGAUAACUUCAGGAAACUGGGGCUAAUACCGGAUAGGAGCUCCUGCUGCAUGGUGGGGGUUGGAAAGUUUCGGCGGUUGGGGAUGGACUCGCGGCUUAUCAGCUUGUUGGUGGGGUAGUGGCUUACCAAGGCUUUGACGGGUAGCCGGCCUGAGAGGGUGACCGGCCACAUUGGGACUGAGAUACGGCCCAGACUCCUACGGGAGGCAGCAGUGGGGAAUAUUGCACAAUGGGCGGAAGCCUGAUGCAGCAACGCCGCGUGCGGGAUGACGGCCUUCGGGUUGUAAACCGCUUUCGCCUGUGACGAAGCGUGAGUGACGGUAAUGGGUAAAGAAGCACCGGCUAACUACGUGUCAGCAGCCGCGGUGAUACGUAGGGUGCGAGCGUUGUCCGGAUUUAUUGGGCGUAAAGGGCUCGUAGGUGGUUGAUCGCGUCGGAAGUGUAAUCUUGGGGCUUAACCCUGAGCGUGCUUUCGAUACGGGUUGACUUGAGGAAGGUAGGGGAGAAUGGAAUUCCUGGUGGAGCGGUGGAAUGCGCAGAUAUCAGGAGGAACACCAGUGGCGAAGGCGGUUCUCUGGGCCUUUCCUGACGCUGAGGAGCGAAAGCGUGGGGAGCGAACAGGCUUAGAUACCCUGGUAGUCCACGCUGUAAACGGUGGGUACUAGGUGUGGGGUCCAUUCCACGGGUUCCGUGCCGUAGCUAACGCUUUAAGUACCCCGCCUGGGGAGUACGGCCGCAGGGCUAAAACUCAAAGGAAUUGACGGGGCCCCGCACAAGCGGCGGAGCAUGCGGAUUAAUUCGAUGCAACGCGUAGAACCUUACCUGGGUUUGACAUGGAUCGGGAGUGCUCAGAGAUGGGUGUGCCUCUUUUGGGGUCGGUUCACAGGUGGUGCAUGGCUGUCGUCAGCUCGUGUCGUGAGAUGUUGGGUUAAGUCCCGCAACGAGCGCAACCCUUGUUCACUGUUGCCAGCACGUUAUGGUGGGGACUCAGUGGAGACCGCCGGGGUCAACUCGGAGGAAGGUGGGGAUGACGUCAAGUCAUCAUGCCCCUUAUGUCCAGGGCUUCACGCAUGCUACAAUGGCUGGUACAGAGAGUGGCGAGCCUGUGAGGGUGAGCGAAUCUCGGAAAGCCGGUCUCAGUUCGGAUUGGGGUCUGCAACUCGACCUCAUGAAGUCGGAGUCGCUAGUAAUCGCAGAUCAGCAACGCUGCGGUGAAUACGUUCCCGGGGCU
rnacentral:rRNA from 1 species